UGCCAAGCAUCUCCUAUCCCUACCAUCUCGUGGUACUGGCCGUGGUACGAGCCUCCCAGAUGGGAACGAUGGUCGUAUGGUGACAGCGAAGG
rnacentral:ribozyme from 1 species